UAACAAGGAUUCCCCUAGUAACUGCGAGUGAAGCGGGAAAAGCUCAAAUUUAAAAUCUGGCGGUCUUUGGCCGUCCGAGUUGUAGUCUGGAGAAGUGCUUUCCGCGCUGGACCGUGUACAAGUCUCUUGGAACAGAGCGUCAUAGAGGGUGAGAAUCCCGUCUUUGACACGGACUACCAGUGCUUUGUGAUGCGCUCUCAAAGAGUCGAGUUGUUUGGGAAUGCAGCUCUAAAUGGGUGGUAAAUUCCAUCUAAAGCUAAAUAUUGGCGAGAGACCGAUAGCGAACAAGUACCGUGAGGGAAAGAUGAAAAGCACUUUGGAAAGGGAGUUAAACAGUACGUGAAAUUGCUGAAAGGGAAACGCUUGAAGUCAGUCGCGUUGGCCGGGACUCAGCCUUGCUUUUUCCUUGGUGCAUUUUCCGGUCGACGGGCCAGCAUCGAUUUUGACCGUCGGAAAAGGGCUAGGGAAAUGUGGCACCUUCGGGUGUGUUAUAGUCUCUAGUCGCAUGCGGCGGUUGGGAUCGAGGAAGGCAGCGCGCCGCAAGGCAGGGGUUCGCCCACUUUCGCGCUUAGGAUGCUGGCGUAAUA
rnacentral:rRNA from 1 species